CAGCGCGCGUCGCUCGCGGAGCCCACACAUAUCAACUUGCACAACGCUCACACACCUCCAAACCACGGCAUAUUUCAAUCUCGCACUCCAUAUUCGACAGCCCUUCUCUGGGCGCACGCGCAGAGAGGGAGGGAAAAAGAGGAGGAGGUGUUGGUGGCGCAAUCCGCAAACGCAAGGUGAAGUGGUCAAGGCGCACACGCACGUGCCCAUACAAGCACUCGACGCGUGCACUCGUGCGCACAUAUACACGACAAUCUCCUUUUCUCUCUCGUAGGCGUGAGCCGCUGCCGCUGUUGUUGUGACGCUCUACGCGUCACUGAACCGCCUCGUGGCCACCCACCCAAACCCAUACGUUCACACCCAUACACGCACGGCCGCUUCACGUACCGGCCGCCUCGCGCGUGGCUCAUCCCGCCACAUGGUGUUUUACGUCUCUCUGCUUCUUCAGAAUAUAGGCACCCUUUCUUUAGAUCGCAGCCUCCGCUCUAUUUCUUCCCAGCGCGUGCGCCUCUCCUCUGUUUUCGUAUCGUCUUGCGGGCCCCACGCUGCCGUGCGUCUCACUCGCCCUCCCCGUCGACGUCUGCCUUCUCGUGUUUUGGGGUCGUUUCUCACGUGAGGGUUUGUCGUGUGCCCCCACCCCCUUCUCCUCCUCCUCUCUUCUGUCGUCCCCACUUCCAGGAGAGCUGGACACGUUGCACACGCCCCUUGGAUUCUUCAUACACCACGGGCGUAGCAUCGCGCGCAUACGACAGCAUCCUCAUCCGUUGCUUUUUUUUUUGUUAUUGCUCAGCCAUGUCGCUCUCCGCCCAAGGCUUAUUGAAGUUUCUCAACCAGAAGCAUCGCCGCUACGAGGUCUUUGAGCAGAUCUCGUUGGCCGAGACAGCGAGCGGAGCGGCUCCCUCGUCAAGGUGUGUACUUCGCGGCUCCGUCGUCGUUCCGGAGGCGGACAAUGACAGCGCUGGUGGUGGCGGCAUCACCCGCGUAAUCCCGACAGCUACAGCGGUUAUGCGCACGCCAUCCCCGCAGCUCUUGCAGCUCCCCUGGUCACCGUCACAGCCGCAGGCGUCGACUCCAACUCAAGCGCACGGUACCAUGUACGUGUGCGAGCUGCCGGAGGACACGUGGGGAUCGAUUUCUGCCGUUACUGCCACGCCGGCGCCGUCGCAGCGGCAGUUCGCCUUCGCCAACGAAGCUGCAGCUUUCUGCGCCUCACCAAGUCCUGGCUUUGUGGACGCCGGGGACGGCGCAGUGGGAGCGAGUUCAGUGCAGGCGUCGCCAACGACCGCUAUGGUAACUGUCAUAAACACCCUUGACCAAACGGACCAUACAGAGGAGAUGCGCCAGGGGCCGGAAAGGCUCAGCAACCAUGACACGAACGCGCCCACCUCAGAUCUAGGUGCAGGCUCGGUGGCCGCAGUGGGAGGCAUUCAGCUACCACAGUUGUCUUCCCCGACAGGGCAGGGCGUCAUGGAGUUGCCCGCAUCUCCACAGGCGCUGCAGACUGCCGGGGAGGACGUGAGGAGCGCCUUGAAUGCGACACCGGUGAGAUGCAGGGGCGCGGACGCGAACGCAGCUCCGCCGCAGUCGUCGCAAAGUCAACCACCGGGCGCAGCCGCUGUCGAAGCUUCUGUAGGGAAGCAGAACAAUACCGUCACCGUUGUCCUGUGGGUUGCAGGUGUUGCUGCUGCUACAGGGGCCGUCGACAGCACGGACAUGGGGCAAGCGGGGGACACGCCCUACACCUUAGCUGCGGCACCACUUGCCACGCCCUCGCUCCGCCGCGAUCUACAGCACUUGACUUCGACCGCCACUGCCCCUCAGAAGGCUGCCGCUGCCGCAGGCACCGCUGCAGAAAGCACCGAAGACAUUGCCGGCAGCAGCACAAAAACGCUAGGGUGCCUCUGCUUCGCUGUACGCGAUAUCCAUGAGGCGGAGAGCAACGACACCGACAUGUUGACCCCACGAGAUCGUCGCGUGCAGAUGCUGACCCUGCAACUGGAGUCCGGCGCGGCUGCCUAUGCAGCGAAAUGCCCGUCAGAUGUCUUUGUGCGUGUUGGCAGCAACUCGCUAGGGUGCGCGCUCACAUCGCCGUCGGGGAUUAGCGGUGGCGCUGCCGCUAUCUCAUCGCGCCGCUCUGCCCCGACAACGUCCUUUUCCUUUGUGUUCCACAAAGGCGGCAUCACGCGGUGUAUGGCCGCACUGCGGCAGCACUCGCCGGGGCUCGUCUACGCGUACCGUGGCAGCCGCAAUAACUUGUCUCUGCUCCUGCUAGAUGGUGCGAACGGAGUUACAGGUGCCGACGGAAUCAGCACUUCGUCGCCGUCACGAAUCCGGGGUGCCGCGACUCCAUCCGAGCUGCAGGCGUCGCACGGGGCGCGCCGAUUGGGCAGCGCGCAUCUGGGGCUUCCGUUAUCACCAGCAGGGCGAAGCACGAGCAGCGCUAGCGCCCCACCGGCGCAGCCGCCAGAGGGCGAGCUCCACGGCUGGCGCAAGCGGCUCUCUACCCGUGCGCUCUUCCGCAGUGGCGCCCGCGGCGUCGGCGGCCUGCUCUCGCACUACACCUCCAACUUGCGCUACGAAGCCAUGAGCGCGGUUGCGCCGCACUGGCCAUCCGCGUUGACGGGGUUCGAACAGGAGGCAGGCCACACCGAUGAUCCUCGUGGCAGGGGAGACAGAAGGGUCGGCAGCGCCACACGCGCAUGGGCGUCGACGACGAACUCGCCGGACGAAACGCAGGACUACUCCAGCGCCUCCUCUUUUGAGGAUCUCACGGACGAGAUGACGGCGAUACGGCUUGGCGCAUGCUACUCUCCUCCACGUCCGGUCCUCCCACUGGACGGCGGAAGCCGCGCACCAUCGCCGGUCACCGCGGCGGACUGGGAGCGCGUCUUCGACGUCCCUCCGGAGCAGCAGCGCUAUCCACAACAGCACGGGAACGCACUGGAGAACCACUCCACGCACGGUGCGACUUCGGCAGCCCUGCCGCCUCAGACAAGGAGGCUGAACGCUGACCGCUGGCGUGCCUUCCGUCAAGCUGUUUACGAGCGAGGAGGGCUGGGGGACAGCAGCGUCCGCUUCGAGGUCUGGUGCUACCUGCUCGGAGCCUACCGCGUAGGCUCGACCGAGGUCGAGCAAGCCGAGGCGCUCCGAAACGACGAGGCGCUCUACACGCGCCUUACCUCACAGUGGAAAUCGUUUCUGCCGGAGCAGGAGGCGCACUUCGCCACCUACCGGUACGCCAAGCAAUCCAUCGUGAAGGAUGUACAGAGGACCGACCGGACGCACCCGGCCUUUCGCGAGGAUGACUCCGAUAUGCUGCGCGUGCUGCAGGAGCUCUUGCUGGCGCAUGUGAUGCUGGACAUGGAUCUUGGCUACAGCCAGGGCAUGAGCGAUGUGGCGGCGGUGGUGUUGCUUGCCGCGUUGCCCUCGCUGCCCCCGGCACCACAUCUGUCCCCGGCGUCUGAGGCCGCCGUGUUCAUGUGCUUCCGCAAGAUACUGAGUGAGCACAUGUCGGCGAACUUUGUCAUUGAGGGGCGCACGGCUGGUGCGCCGUACGCGGCUGUGAAGGGGCUGCAGCGCAAGCUGUACCAGGCACAGGUGCUGACGCGGCACUUCCAUCCGGGCUUGUACACGCAUCUCAAGAAGAACUGCAUGGCCGAUGACAUGUCAUUCUGCUUCCGCUGGAUACUGGUCUGCUUCAAGCGCGAUCUGCCGAGCAUCGAGGACACGAUGCGCUUCUGGGAUGUGCUCUUCGCUUGCCCGUACACCACGGCGUACGAGGUGGUCGUCACGGUGGCGUUGCUCGGCGCGCUCGCCGCACAGAUCAUAACUCACAUACAAGCGUACGAGACGCUCCUACAGUUCGCGAACGGACUGAGCCGUGAGAUAAGCCUUGACCAGAUUCUCGUAUGCGCGCGGGCGUUCUACGAGAACGUCUGCGUCGCCGAGGCACGCGAGCUGCGCCGUCGUCUGCGUCUCCAGGCCGCGGAGGCGUCCGCAAGGACAAGGGGCAGUACAGCAACCGGCGGCGCUGGUGAGCCCCUUCCUGGCUGGUAUGUUGGUCCACACAGCAAGGAAGCGGCAGUGGCGGCGGUCGUGCCAGCUGGGAAGGCCGACGAUGACGACGACGAAUCUGACUACUUCCCAAGCGUCGAGGACAUGGUCGCGCUGUUUCUCAAGACGGAUGGACCUCUUUGAGAAGAGGUCGAGGAGCGCGAGGUGCGGCACGGCCACGACGCUUCUACUUUUUCAUUGACAUGAACCUCAUCUGCUGUGGGCAUGUAUUUCUCUGCGUGGGCGUGUGUGCGGUGUAGGGCGCGGCCCCCUCUCCUCGCCUUCUUAUGUUCCAUCUCUCUUCGCUUGUCAUGACAGGGGAGAGAGAAGGAGGGGGGGGGCAGAGCGCUAGCCUUCUUCCUCACUCGUCUCACUGGACUCCUUGCCACCG
rnacentral:misc_RNA from 1 species